UGGACAAUUUAUUGUAUUCGACUGUAUUCACGGCGUGAAACAGGGGAUUACACUAUUUUUAAACGGAAAUUGAAUCAAUUAACAUAAUAGACUCCU
rnacentral:pre_miRNA from 1 species